rnacentral:tRNA from 1 species
GGCUCAGUGGUAGAGUGCUUGCCUUGUAUGCAUGAGGCUCUGGGUUCGAUUCCUCAG